rnacentral:rRNA from 1 species
AACGAACGCUGGCGGCAUGCCUAACACAUGCAAGUCGAACGAGACCUUCGGGUCUAGUGGCGCACGGGUGCGUAACGCGUGGGAACCUGCCCUUAGGUUCGGAAUAACUCCCCGAAAGGGGUGCUAAUACCGGAUAAUGUCUUCGGACCAAAGAUUUAUCGCCUUUGGAUGGGCCCGCGUUGGAUUAGCUAGUUGGUAGGGUAAAAGCCUACCAAGGCGACGAUCCAUAGCUGGUCUGAGAGGAUGAUCAGCCACACUGGGACUGAGACACGGCCCAGACUCCUACGGGAGGCAGCAGUGGGGAAUAUUGGACAAUGGGCGAAAGCCUGAUCCAGCAAUGCCGCGUGAGUGAUGAAGGCCUUAGGGUUGUGAAGCUCUUUUACCCGGGAUGAUAAUGACAGUACCGGGAGAAUAAGCGCCGGCUAACUCCGUG